UACGUAGGGGGCUAGCGUUGUCCGGAUUUAUUGGGCGUAAAGAGCGUGUAGGCGGCCAGGUAGGUCUGGUGUGAAAACUCGAGGCUUAACCUUGAGAUGUCAUCGGAAACCAUUUGGCUAGAGUCCGGAAGAGGAAAGUGGAAUUCCUGGUGUAGCGGUGAAAUGCGCAGAUAUCAGGAAGAACACCAAUGGCGAAAGCGCUCUACUGGGCCAUAACUGACACUGAGGGACGAAAGCUAGGGGAGCGAAAGGG
rnacentral:rRNA from 1 species